rnacentral:rRNA from 1 species
UACGUAGGGGGCAAGCGUUGUCCGGAAUUACUGGGCGUAAAGCGUGCGCAGGCGGUUUUGUAAGCCAGAUGUGAAAGCCCCGGGCUUAACCUGGGAAUGGCAUUUGGGACUGCAAGGCUUGAGUGCGGCAGAGGAGACUGGAAUUCCUGGUGUAGCAGUGAAAUGCGUAGAUAUCAGGAGGAAUACCGAUGGCGAAGGCAGGUCUCUGGGCUGACACUGACGCUCAUGCACGAAAGCGUGGGGAGCAAACAGG